rnacentral:rRNA from 2 species
CAUGGAGAGUUUGAUCCUGGCUCAGGACGAACGCUGGCGGCGGGCUUAACACAUGCAAGUCGCGGGAGAAGCGACCCUUCGGGGUCGUGGAGACCGGCGGAUGGGUGAGUAACGCGUAGGUAAUCUGCCUUUAGGACGGGGAUAACCCACCGAAAGGUGAGCUAAUACCGGAUGAUGCAGCGGGGCCGCAUGGCCACAGUUGUUAAAUCCCUCGGGAGCCUAACGAUGAACCUGCGUGCCAUUAGCUAGUUGGUAGGGUCAAAGCCUACCAAGGCGAUGAUGGCUAGGGGGUCUGAGAGGAUGAUCCCCCACACUGGGACUGAGACACGGCCCAGACUCCUACGGGAGGCAGCAGUGAGGAAUCUUGCGCAAUGGAGGAAACUCUGACGCAGCCACGCCGCGUGC